rnacentral:rRNA from 1 species
AGCGAACGCUGGCGGCAGGCCUAACACAUGCAAGUCGAACGAAGUCUUCGGACUUAGUGGCGGACGGGUGAGUAACACGUGGGAACGUGCCUUUAGGUUCGGAAUAACUCAGGGAAACUUGUGCUAAUACCGAAUGUGCCCUUCGGGGGAAAGAUUUAUCGCCUUUAGAGCGGCCCGCGUCUGGUUAGCUAGUUGGUGAGGUAAAGGCUCACCAAGGCGACGAUCAGUAGCUGGUCUGAGAGGAUGAUCAGCCACAUUGGGACUGAGACACGGCCCACACUCCUACGGGAGGCAGCAGUGGGGAAUCUUGCGCAAUGGGCGAAAGCCUGAUCCAGCCAUGCCGCGUGAGUGAUGAAGGCCUUAGGGUCGUAAAAUUCUUUUGCCAAUGGGGUGACCUUUUGGAGAAUAAGCACCGGCUAACUCUGUGCCAGCCGCCGCGGUAACAC